AAAGCCCGCCCCCUUGUUUUCAUUCCAAGAGACCGCAGAGUGUGACCCUAGGCCAUUGAGGCUGUGUGUGUUUUCGGAGUGAUAUCCACAUUUAGUCUGGCAGGGCUUCCAUCGGUGAGGCACCUUCUAAUAGCCGUGUCGGGGUACCAGCUGUUGUGAUUUGAUUCACUAAAGGACUUAUCGUAUGACUUUUGGUGUGCCUGUGGUUACGUGUGUGCGCCGAUACUAAAUCAGGGAGUUCUCUCUGCUUGCAUUAAAGCAAGGUUGAGCAGCUACUUUAACAACUUGCUGUCCGCAUCCCUCGCUCUGUGAGCCACGUCUGCUGCUUUAAGGGAAUUAGAACUUUAACCACUGUAGUGAUCCCA